AAUGAACGUUGGCGGCGUGGAUUAGGCAUGCAAGUCGAGCGAGAACCCGCAAGGGGGACAGCGGCGAACGGGGUAGGACAACGUAGGUAACGUACCCUCGGGGCGAGGACAGCCACGGGAAACUGUGGGUAAUACUCGAUAAACUUCCCAAUCAUUAUGGAAGGGGAAGCAAUGGGUGUGAUUCCACCUGAGGAGCGGCUUACGCAGUAUCAGCUAGUUGGUGAGGUAACGGCUCACCAAGGCUACGACGCUUAGGGGGUGUGAGAGCAUGGCCCCCACCACUGGCACUGAGACACUGGCCAGACACCUACGGGUGGCUGCAGUCGAGAAUCUUCGGCAAUGGACGCAAGUCUGACCGAGCGACGCCGCGUGCGGGAUGAAGGCCUUCGGGUUGUAAACCGCUGUCAGAGGGGA
rnacentral:rRNA from 1 species